CACUCCGAAAGCUAAAUGGGAUAGACCCAAGGCUCAUGCACAAGAGUGUCAAAGGAGCAAUGGAGAAAUAGCUGGUGGGCAUGGCCUGGGAGGAAGAGUAUGUGGCGUCCUAUGAAACCACCUUUCACAAGUGCUUCAGAAAAAUCUCAGGGUCUAGGGGGAAGUUUAAUGUUUGCUGUUCUGGGAUCAUUUGAAGCCAUGCAUUCAAAGAGGACAAAAUCACUUUUAAGUCUGCCUGUAGGAAAUCUAUCUUGGCAACCA